GACGAACGCUGGCGGCGUGCUUAACACAUUCAAGUCGAACGGAAAGGCCCUGCUUUUGUGGGGUGCUCGAGUGGCGAACGGGUGAGUAACACGUGAGUAACCUGCCCUUUACUUUGGGAUAACUUCAGGAAACUGGGGCUACUACCGGAUAGGAGCUCCUGCUGCAUGGUGGGGGUUGGAAAGUUUCGGCGGUUGGGGAUGGACUCGCGGCUUAUCAGCUUGUUGGUGGGGUAGUGGCUUACCAAGGCUUUGACGGUUAGCCGGCCUGAGAGGGUGACCGGCCACAUUGGGACUGAGAUACGGCCCAGACUCCUACGGGAGGCAGCAGUGGGGAAUAUUGCACAAUGGGCGGAAGACUGAUGCAGCAACGACGCGUGCGGGAUGACGGCCUUCGGGUUGUAAACCGCUUUCGCCUGUGACGAAGCGUGAGUGACGGUAAUGGGUAAAGAAGCACCGGCUAACUACGUG
rnacentral:rRNA from 1 species